UUCGAGUCGAAGGGGUUUACCGAGUGCAUCCUGUACUUACUCCUCGGUACGUUUCCUCUCGUCAGCAGGUCUCACGACUGUUUAAAGGGUUCCAGAGGACCCUAAACUGCUGCAGGAUUUAGACUCUGACAGUCGGAGAGCUCUGGGCCCACACUCAGAGGAGCCUCGGUUGAAAGGCUGCGCGAUUUCAAAGAUAUCAGAGUUUUGCCCUGAAAACUCCGGUAUUGGGGGAUCUUAUUUGAGAAGCUCUUCAAAAAUUCAUUGCUUCUUGCUUAAACACCAUUCUUUCCUGUUUUUCCCAUUACAUCUGUCCAGUCCGAGUCCAUCCACUCCUAUCUCCUCCUCCUCUUCCCGUCUCUUCUUGUAGCUGGCAGGAUCAGUCUCUGAAGGAUUGUGAGGAAUGUGCAGCCUGAACGUCACCGUCGCUGUCACUGACGUUAAGUUUGAACGUAAAGAAAAAGACACAGCGGAAAAAAAAAGGUCUGGACUCAGCAGGGAGCCGCUGACAUCAGAGGAAGCUAGUCAGCCCUCCCUGCUCCUCUGUUAGCGUCUCAUCUCUCCUUCUGUCGCUCCCUUCUUCCCAGCGGCCUUUGAGCUCACCCUUUUUUAACCAGGCGUUCUGCCGCUGACCUAUAAAAUGUAGAGCCUGUCAACAUCUGUGGAAAGGCACGGCGAGCGGUGGUGAUGAUGGGAUUUACAUAACAUUACGGGUGGUGUGUUGGGGGCGCCGGUUGAUGGAUGAUGUGCGGAUGUGUUUCAAAUGUUAAUGUGCCAUUUAAGAACAAAAGAAACGGGCCGUGAAUGAAAGAGGAGACGGACAAAGUUUCUGUGGUCAAAGUCAGGGUCGGGGACAUGUGGCUCAUUAUGAUUUGCGACCCGUAACCCCGUUAUUAAGUCCAGGACUUUGUAGGGCCGCCCUGUAGGAUUUAUCAGUGGAGUAGACCACGAGCAGACUCAUGUUUUACAUUUGGAGCCACAAAAACACCAGAGGUCUAGAUGUCUCUUUGGUUGCCUUUACCGACUCCUGCUAACUUAAAUCCUUGAUCCGGAUCAAAAAUAACCACAUUAACAUGACGAGGAGAGACAGGACUGAAGAACUGAGGACCUGUAUGAACAGCUACAUCCAUUUUGACCGACUGCUUGGGGGAAGGAAAACGAAAUUUUGACGUAUCUAUCUACCACUUAAUGAAUUUCCCCUUGGGGAUCAAAAAGGUUUUUGUUGCUCUUCUUGUUCUUCUUCUUCAAAUUAAUCUUUAAAUGAGGAUAGGGAGAUCGACAGGUGGAUCUGAGCGGCGUCAGCAGUGAUGCGGGCGCUUAACCGAUCUGUCGUGAUAGAGAAAGAGCUGAGCCGUAAGGUGAAAUUCUCGAUUUACCGGUCGAUCUACAUGCCGACUCUCACCUCUGGUCAUGAACUUUGGGUGAUGACCGAAAGAACAAGAUCGCAGAUACAAGCGGCACAGGGUGGCCGGGCUCAGCCUUAGAGAUAGGUUAAGGAGCUCGGACACUCGAUAGGCGCUCAGAGUAGAACCACUGCUCCUCCACGUCAAGAGGAGUCAGCUGAGGUGGCUCGGGCAUCUGGUUAGGAUGCCUUCUGGACGCCUCCCGUUAGAGGUGUUCUGUACAUGUCCCACCGGGAGGAGACCUUGUGGCCGGCCCAGGACCAGGUGGAGGGAUUAUAUCUCUCGCCUGGCCCGGGAGCGCCUGAGAAUCCCCCCGGAGGAGCUGGUGGAAGUGGCUGAGGUGAGGGCAGUGUGGGCUUCCCUCCUGAAGCUGCUGCCCCUGCGCCCCGGACCCAGAUAAGCGGAAGAAAACGACGGUGAUGAAUUUGUUUGCAAACAUUUGCUUUUCCGUAAUGCAUCAUAGUACUUGUUAACAUACUUGUAGUCGUUUGUUUGGUCUGUUUGAACUCCUGAAGGAAAUAUCACAUUCUUUAUCGCCCUCUCAGGUCAACAUUCAUGUUCCUGUGGCCCGUCUUUGCUUCAUCCCAGAUGUUUUCCUCCACUGAAGUUAUGCACCAUGUCUAUUUUCAACAUGUCUCAAGCUGCCACAAGCAGUUUGACCUCGACAGAAGGUUACUGCAUCCAGUCAAACAAAAAAAAAACUUCCUUGAACAGGCAGAAACCUCGAGCAGGACCAGACUCGUGUUUGCCAGUCAUCUGCCUCUUGAUGUCUUUACACUUCUCCCUAAAUCCUGUCGUAGUUCCCCUCGGUUGAUCCACCAAAUUAUCCGUCUCAGCUUAUUUUUUUUGGCACUAUUUCCCUCUGUGUUUUAACGCCCUGAAAAGGUGCCCAGAACCUGACAGAUGGAAACCCAACAAUUCGGAGCCACAUUAACACCACAUUACUUCCACCUCCACAGAUAAUUGGCACACCUUGAAGUUUCCCCUCACACUGAAUCACAAUCGGAUAUUUUACAACUCAACUCCCAUGUUCAGUAAAAACUUAGAGCUUUUGCUUCUGCUUUUCUCCACAGGAAUGUUUUUAUUCUUCUCAGUGUCGACUUCGAGAGCUAAGCAGGCUCCGACAGACACGAAACCCAAUAUAUCCUCAUCCUAGCCUUUGUCUCUUUAUUCAUUGUGUACCUCUCUUCAUAAAAUUAUGAUUGUGAGUGCGGGAUUACAUCUAGUGUGAUUUCAACAGUGAUCUAGAUUCUGCAGAUGUGCUGAGGCUGAGAAAAAGGUGUGACUGCACAUCCCUGAUAUGUGAUUUUUAUUUAUUUAUAUGAAAGCAGAGAAUCCCCGAUGGUUGUGCUGUUCACUGCUGAAUGUAAAGCUGCUACUUUAUGAGAAUCCUGCACGUAUGUAUGAGGCUGUGCGAGCACGAGGGACUUCCAGGACUGAUAUUCAUAUGUGUUUGCGAAAAGUGAGUACAUGUGUGAACACCUGCAGGGGAAUUACGUGCGAAUCUUCCUGUUUGUGUGUGAAACUCCAGAUUUACCCCUCAGGCGUCUGCGUUCUGGUUUCAUUUCUACGUCUGGAAGAGCUGGGGGAUUAAUCUAAAUUUAUUUCGAUUACAUGUGGCUCCCCAGGAUGAUAGAAAUAUGAUAAUCAAGAAUGAACAGUAUUGUGCCGCCUGCAGUGUCGAAUAAAAUGCACCCUCCCUGUCUUACUUAACAGCAAAGCAUGGGCACAACUCCUCCCCUUGAAUAGCUCUCACUGUAACUCUGUUAUUAGCAGCUCGGCUCAGGAUGUGCAGUGAUUUGGCGGCUAGUGAGCGGUGGGUUCUGUCAAUCUCCUGUGGGGACUGCAGUAUGUCCUUCCCGAACACCUUGCGUAGCAGCUCAGAAAAGAAUUUGGUUGACUCCGCCAGGCCCAGAAUACGUAGAUUUUGCCGUCUCCUUGUCCCUUGAGGUCAGUGACUUUGGUUUUGAGUUUAGAGUUGUCUUACCGUAGAUCGGAGCCGACAUUUUCCAGCUCUCUGACACGCUGGCUGAAGUCGUCCGCCAGCUCGAGGGACCCCAAGGGUUGACCAUGGUCUUCCACCGUAAACCAAACUUUGUCAAACUUAGCUUCCAGCUAAAGUCAGCAGCUAGUAGGGUUGGGCAUCGUUUGAUUUUGACCAAUUCCAGUUCCAACUCCGAUUCCUUGUCUCGAUUCUGGUUCCUAACGAUUCUCUAUUCCGAUUCUUUUCUCACAGGACUAUUUUCAACCAGUAAAUAAAUAUUAAUGUUUGUUUUCAGGUUGUUUGUCUAUGAAAAGUACGAGGGCUAACGUUAGUUGGGUAUUUAAGUUGACCAUCCGUACACAGUACAAUUUGUUUACCACUUCAAAGUUUGCAGAAGUAAUUUAUUAUUUCACUGACCUGAUUCUGGCUGGUUAGUGGAAGACCGGCUAAGUGCGUCAAAGACGAACACUCGGGUAUUUCUCCGCUGUGAAUUCUGAGGUGUUUAAUCAUGUUGGUCGUUCAUCCUCCUUUGCCUCUCUCUUCUGUCUCUCUGUGUGGCUUCAUCACAUACGUUUCGUCCUUGUUGAUGUUCGGCGGCUAUUUCUUCCGGUUGGCGGACUCCGGCAUCGAAACUUGGAAUCGAAAUUUUAAAAUUUGAACGGUUCCGGGAGAAUCGGUAUGUUAGUCCAGGUUCCAUCGAUGCUCGGGAUCGAUGCCCAACCCUAGCAGCUAGCGCCUCGCAGUGUUGCUCCAGUAGCACGGAGACAGCAUCGACUGUAAGCUAGCGGUCAAUGACGAAUCGUCUUUUUUGGAAGAUUUGCCACUUUUCAAAGUCAUUUUAUCCCAGACCACAAUAAGAAAAUAGACACUAAAAAUUACAGCAAGUUGUAUUUGUAGAAUGAAGGAAUGAAAAGUUAUAAGAAGAAAAUGCUCAGGAGCUGUUUUCCAAGAUGCAGUGGUACCAACUAUCACGCAGCCACAGGUGGAGAAAGGAGAGCUUUAAAUUGCAUAUAUGUUGCAGACGUCACAUCAUGGGUAAUUGGUUUAACGCGUCUAAUGUCUCGUCUAUUCACCCGAGUGCAUGCAUUCAAACAUGGCUGUUUGAAUACAUGCACCGCACCUCCCAAAGUAAAGACUGUUUUCACCUCCGAGUGAAGCAGAGAAGCCGUCCCAGUCAAGCGACAUGCCCAUUUUUCACCUGACUGCAACAUAUUACCUCAUUUCCCCCGGCACAGACGCCCCUUUUCCCUGCCGGCCUUACCGACCUGACCCCCAGACCUAACCUGCGAAACUCUCCACCAUCCCUUCUCCCCGGCUCUUUAUCCACCCCGCUCUUCCCCCCCUCAAUCCGUCUGGGGCAAUCAGCUGAUAGAUGGCCCCUCAGGACGGGGUCGCAGGAAGGGUCAGGACUGUUUUCGGGGACUUUUUUGUUCUGUUUUUUCUUGCGGUACAGCGCCGGAGAUGGACAGGAGCAGAUUGAGGCAGGAUUUGGGGAAGGAGAGAAAUGUGGGAAAACACGCAGAGGGCAGGAAGAAGUGAAGAGAACAGUCAGAAAAUUGUCAGCCUGUGCAAACAGUCCUGCCUGUGAUCUCCACCUCCUUUUCCCAUCUCUCCCCCGCCGACCACCACAUCCUUGUUUUCAUCACCUGUGUCUUCACCAGCCCUGUACGCUUGUGUUGUCUGCUGUCAGUAAAAUCAGCCUGGGACUGCUGUGUAUUCUAGUUCGUGUUGGUGUGGUUGCUCGAGUGUGCUCACUAAGUAUUUGUUUGGGCUGUGGCGGUGUCUCCAGAGUGCCUGCUUGCCUUCUGUUGAAUAUUUAUCACUUAUUUAAUGUCGUUGCUCCCCGAGAGAGUUGGACUCUGCAGCUAAUACCUCCCCUAAAUCCCCUUUUUCUUCCUUUUCACACACCUCACAGUUUUACCCUUGCUUUUCCUGCUUUUUGCAUCUCUCUGUGGCACUUGGCAUGCUGUUUUUUUUUUUUUUUUUUUUUAGCACACUCUGUCAAUGUCACACCUUUUUUCUUGUGCUCUCUUGACUCCACUCACAUGUGUUUCAGCAGCUGAUGCCAUUUUGCUUCAAUAGAUUCCAAACAUAGACUCCUGCAUCGUCAGGGUACAUGUUAAUUCCCCGAUCUAUCGGGUCUUAAAAGUCUUACCCCUUUGACAUCCUUAUCAGAACGUUCCUGGAAAGAUCUGCGGUGAACAAAAGCUGGAACACGAUGUCAAGGGAUAAGGUGUACCUGUACCUGGAAGGAGAUAGAAAAGAGUGAGACUUCGAAGAUGAAAUAGUCCCCGAUGUGCGUUUCUCCUCUCCUUUCAGCCCUGCUAUUUAUUCUCAUCACUCACACAAACCUGGGAGAGAGACAGAAGAAAGGAAGAUUGGUGCCACGGGAGGAAAAGAUGUCUUCCUCUUUAGGAGCGAUUCAUCGCAGAAAGACUUCGAUUUCACACAAGCGCCGCACUUCCCGAGCAUCUGUGUUUCUAACCGGAAAUGUCACCUGACAGAAUGUGUUACGGACAAUAAGAAAGCGAGGUGAAAAAAAUAUCAGGAAAGGGGAAAAUAGGUGUAAACAGAGCGCUUGUGAGGAAUAUCUGUCAAUGAAAAGAGUGAUGGAGGCGCUGAGAGUUGUUAGAGGUGGUGCCGGAGAAAACAAUGGAGCUUUGUGAGGCUUUCUUUGUUAUUGCAAUUCUAACACAACUCUCUCAUAGAUAUUACUCUUUCUCUUUCUUCUCCCCUGCUCUCCCUCGGUCAGUGGUCGCACCUGUCAUCUGGUAUGCUUUGUUUUUCCGAGAUUAAAGUCUCAUACCCAGCAGAAGUCCCAUGUUUCUACAGUUACAUCACUCUGUCCAUAUCACACUCUCGCCGUGUUGAGAGGCAUACUUCUCGCGCUCGGUUCAGAGCCUCAAAUAAGGAUCUGAUCUCAGCCGGUUACUGUUAUCUGGCGCUGAUAAGUGGGCCACAAAGCUGUGGAAAAACAGACGCUGUAAUGGGACAAGAAUAGACGCAAAAAGAGCCAAGUUAAACAUAUUAAGAGGUCAUAAAAACUGAUAAACAACCGAGUGGACUGGAUCAGACAGACUCAUUACUGCCAGCUGCUUCAGAACUGCUUGUUCAGUUUUACUGUAAGUUAUGGUGGUCGAAUGAUUCACUUAUCAAGUUGCGAUUAAUCGCAGUGUUUCCGGAGUUAAUCGCGAUUAAUCGCAUUUUUAUCUGCAGUUUUAAGUCCAUAUCAACACUGAAAAGAAAAAAGCUAGUUUUGUUCCUGACCAUGAACAGAACAAAACCAGAAAAGAGAUACGGGGUAUCGCUUUCUCCACAGGGGGCACUAAAAUCAACAUUAACUAGUUUCUCACAGGAGCUGUGUAGUCUGUCAGAUUUCUUCUUCCAGAGGAGUAUCAUCAUGAUUAACUAUUAAUGAUCUGUGGUAACUUUUCAUUUUUGUUACCACAGCUGGUUCAGAACUCCCUGCUCAGUUUUACUUUUUGUCGAGGUGGUCCAGUGAUUCACUUAUCAAGUUGCGAUUAAUCGCAGUGUUUCAAGAGUUAAUCGUGAUUAAUUGCAUUUAUAUCUAUAUGUUUAAAAUGUCAGUAUUCUAUAUCAAAAUCAGUUUAAAGUCCAUAUCAAUACUGAGGGCAAAAGCUAGUGUUCCCACCCAUGCACAGAAAAAAGUCAGCAAAGAAAUAAGGAGUAUGGCUUUCUCCACAGGGGGCGCCAAAAUCAACAUUAACCAGUUUCUCACAGGAGCUCCUUCCAGAGGAGUAUCGUCAUGAUUAACUAUUAAAGUAACAUGAUUCACUGUGGUAACUUUUCAUUCCAUAUCACGUAUGUGCACACACUUGCACACACAAUAGCUGUUAAAGGAAAUAAACGGCAUACGGAUCUUUUACAGAUACAUUUUGCAAAAGAGGAAAUGCAUGGAUUAAAUAUUCAUAUUCACAAAUGUUAUGUAGCUACAUAACUUUGUAAACUCUGAUGUAUUGUACGGAUGUCGUAAUUGCAUAAAUAUAAACACUUUUUAAUUUUUUUGACCUCAAAUAGGAGACAAAAACUCACAUCCUGGCCUAAAUACUGAAUUCUGUUCAGCCUUUUUUACUCAGCGAAGCUCUGGUUAGUAAGUUUCUUCAUCUAAAUUAUUCAACAGAAAAAGUAUUUUUGCUAAUCCUGCUUCAUUACCAGCAACGGUUGGAAAACGUGAUGGAAAAAUAUUUCAUUUUUUAAAAGAACUCCUCCUGCUCGAUAACUAACUUCUCUCUGCCAAACUUUUCCAGACUGUCACAGUUUUACUCCAGCAGACAAACACAGACCCUCAAAUAAUCAGGUUUUACUAUAUUUUGGUCUUCAGUAUCAAAGUCAGACCUUUAAAAUAAAGAACUCAAGUUUGCCUCAUGCAAGCGUGUAGCUGACACCAGUUUAUAAAGCCAGGCACAGCCAUGACAGCCUGUUUUAAAGAUUUCAGAAGUUACUCAUACUUUAUUAACUUUCUGGCUGUUUAAAAAGUGAACACUCUGUAGUGUGGCUGUAUUUUAUUAAAUCCUCUGCAGACAGGCGGUGGGCCUAGAGCUUACUUUGGAAUCAAAUCCGAUAAAAUACAGAUUUCAAUUACACAUUCCUCUCAAUUCACUCAGCUUUGCUCUGAGCUCACAAGCACCGGCUCUGCACACCCACAUGCUACCCCCUGCUGUGUCGCAGCCACACACGCGGGGCCCCCCUGCAAUCUGAAUUUCUUUAAUUCCCUUCGGCUCUAUUAGAAGUCAGGACAGUAGCGCAGUCCCCCAUCUUGAAGCCAUUUUGUCAGGAAAUGGUAUAAUUCCCUCAUCUGGAUCCCAUUACAGCCAGGCGGACUGCUAUUCCUGUGAUGCCUGUACAUUGUAAUUAAGGGCUUUGUGUCUCACAGCCAGGCACCCAGUCGGCUUUCUUUCUCUCACUACCUCUCAGUCCUGUGUCGCCGUUCCCUCACUUAACCUUAUGCCAGUUUUAAGAAGAUCUACGCCUUGCCCAGCGGCGAAUCGGUGAUGUAGACAACAUUCAAUAAGUGUUGAAAUAACAUGCAUUUCUCUGUCAUUUACAUUGGGUUUAUAUACCAUAUGGUGAACUCUCUCACCCUGAGGGCUCUGCUUGGCCUUGCAGUGUUUUUUUUUUUAAACCCAGAGUGGUCAGCAACUGGCUAGCACUGUGGAAAUUUUUGGAUAUAAAGCCAAACAGCGUCUGUCUAUAUUGGACAAGUUCCCCUGACCACAUACCAACCUAUUUCCUCAAAGGGGGGAUAUAUGGAAACAGAGGAUCUGAGUGUGCACUUUUCUGCAGUCUUGGCACAAGUUCUCACGCCCACAGUGACUUAUGACAUACCUAAAGACAUAUGACAUCCCUACCAUGAAGAACUGGUGAGCUCAUGGGUGUUUUGAGCUAAGCCAAGCAGUCCAGUACAGCACAGUUCAGCAUUUAUCGGAAUUUCCAGAGUGAAAAGUUGAGAGAGGAGCUCGAACUACUGGUCCUCACCGGCCUACUUUGAUUGGAGCCGUUCUGUUUGGGUACCAGGUGAGAUAGAUGAAAAUGGAAAGGGGGGCUGUAAAAGAAGUUAUCUUUAUUCUUUUAACUUAAAAUGAUUUGAUAGUUAAUAGAUUAAUUCAACUGGGUUGAAUAGAACUGGACACAAUACAAUAUGAUAUGAUAUGAUAACAAAAGGAAAGGAAAGGAAAGGAUACAAUACAAUAUGAUACAGUAUAUUACGAUAAAAUAUGAAAGUAAAGGAUACAAUACGAUUUGUUAGGAAAAGAAAGAAUAUGAUACAAUAUGAUGCAAUACACUGCAAAAGAUAUGAUACAGUUCAAUGCAUUACAAUAUAAUAGGAUACAAUAUGAUAUGAUAACAAACAAUAUAAUACGAAACACAAGGAUACAAUAUGAUAUAAUAUGGUACAAAACGAUGCAAUAUGAUAUGGCAUGAUAUGUAUAUGAUACAAUACAUUACAAUGUGAUAUGUAUGAUAUGAUACAAUACAAUAUGAUACGAUACAAUAUGAUGUAAUAUGAUAUAAUAUAAUACAAUAUGAUACAAUUCAAUAUGAUACAAUACAAUAUAUUACGAUACAAUAUGAUAUGAUAUAAUAUGAUACAAUACAAUAUGGUAUAAUGAUACAUUAUGAUUUGAAACAAAAGGAUGCCAUAUGUUAUGCAAGGCUAUACAAAAGACACAGUUCAAUAUGAUACGACACAAAAUGAUAUGAUACGGAAUCAUGUGAAAAGAUAUGAUAUGAAUAGAUUUGAUACAAUACACUUCGAUAUGGCUUAGUGGUAGAGUUGAUUGUCAUUCAGUCAACAUGUAAAUUACAAUACGAUACAAUAAAGACCAAUUUAAUGCCAUAUGAUACCAGAUGAUGUCAUAGUGUAUUAUAACAGACCAUAUUGUACUUUAUAAUAUGACCGGAUUCUUUUCAAAAUGAUAACAAACCACAGGAUACACCAUGAUACGAUAUGAUACAGUAUAGUGAGAUAUGAUACCAUAUGAUAAAGUUUGGUACAAUAUAUCAUGACAUAGAACAAUACAUCAUUAUAUGAUAUAUUGUGAUAUGAUAUGAAAUAUUAUGAUACAAUAUGAAAUGAUUCACUAGAGUAUAAUACAAUACUCUCAGGAACGUCUUUGUCCAAAGGUGAAGAUUUGAGUGAUUUCAGUCCUAAUCUCUCCGGUUCAGCAUUUUAACUGAUUAAAGCAUCGAGGACUGAUUAUAGCACACAGUCUUUUCUUUUUAUAGAUGUGAGGUCGGCACACAUGACUUUGAUUUUCAGGCAGCAUUCUUACUUUAUCCCACAUCUCUGUUUUUAACAACAACGUCAUGGAAUCUCAUUAAAAUACCUCCCUGGCUAGACCUCCCCACCACUUUAGAUCUCUCCAAGUGGAAAGAUCUGCUUUGUAUAACAAGGAGAGCGGAAGGCAUCAGUCUUCAGACUCAAGUGUUUGUGUGUGUGUGUGUAAGUGUGUGUGUGUGUGUGUGUGGUUGAUGGGGGUCAUUUUUUGGACAUGACGCACGCUGCACUUUUCAAAGGCCUGCGCGUCCCAAAGGUCCAAACAUGGACACGGAGGGUGUUUGUGCCAGAUCACACACGUGUACCGUCCGCAGCGCUGUGCGUACACAAACAAACGCCUACAAAAAGACUGACACACAAGCUGAGUACACACAUUCACACAAACACACACAGUUCUGGCUGCACUGUGAUCUUGAAACCCUGAGUCUGUGUCAUUGGAAAAUCAAUAUGCCUUGCUUUUUCAUCCAAUUAAUUAGCGACUGGUGGAUGGAGCUGUGUGUGUGUAUGUCAAUGGGGUGUUGUCAGUGUGUGCUGCAUCUAUCCCACUAUCUCUCUCUCCAUCCAUAUGAGUCCUUUUCCUCUCCUCGUUACAAGGCUUUCACAGUCGCACAACCUUAAGCUGGCGUGUAUUUACUUCCAACAGAAUAAACAGGUUGUGUUGUAAUCUUGUGAACAUUAGACAGCUUGAGAUGAUGUCACUAAUGCCUCUCCAAGCUAGCAGCACUUAAACAACUGCGAAAUAAACAAUGCUGUUAUUGUGUGUAACCAGAUUAGCCCAGAGCCCUGUGUCCUGGAGGCCCACUCCUGGCACCUCCUCUGAAGACGAGUGUAAUCCUUCAGGCCUUUUACACACCUGCGUGGUCGCAACACAACGCAAUGAUAUGUAAUGAAACGCUGCGAUGCGCUACAACACGCCGUAAAAAGCUCAACCGCUUUCGAGGCACAGAAGAGCCGCACAACUCCGGGGUAUGCAAUGUACUGUAACGCAGUAACGCGAGUUUGAAACAAGAUCAAUUAAAUCCAUGCAAUGCUGGGAAAUAAAAGAAUAUAUAAUGUAACGCUCCGAAGAUAACAGAUUUCUGCAUUUAUAUAACAUUUAUAUGAUUUCUGAAAUGGUUUUUUCCAUUUUUAAGAUAAGAUAAGAAGAACUGUAUUGAUCCCCGAAGGGUAAUUCAAUUAUCUGUCGUCUCAUUUGUCGUCUCUAAAAGUUAUCUUCCAUUUACAGAAGAGUUGUAAAGUCUGAUGGCUGUGGGUACAAAAGAUCUUCUGAAUCUCUCUGUCCUGCAGCGAAGAGAGAGAAGCCGUCCACCACCGUUGGCCCUUUGGUCCAUUAAGGUGUUGUGAAGUGGGUUAUGUGAUCACUACUGCGGCGGUCUUCUACAGCUGGUCCAAUAAUCAGAUUUCUCCCACUCUACAACAAGUCAAUCAUAGGGAUAAACUCAGGCUUUUGAACAGUAUAUUUAACUUUCAGAAACUCAUAAAAAGUAGGGUGACCAUAUUCAGACUUCCUGAAAAAAGGACAUGACUACGCGGGGGCGGAGUCACAGAGUUGCGAGAAGUUAAUUUUGAGAGUUUUUCGGGUUGGAUUGAGUGUCUCUUACACACUUCUAACUCAGUAAGUCCACAUGACACAGACUCGAAACUUACGUACAAAUCCCUGGACAUUUGAGGGAUUUUAUAAACUUCCCCGAACAAAGACGGUCAAAUCCAGACGACCCCUAAAAAAGAGGACUUGUCCAGGUCAAAGAGGACGUAUGGUCACCCUAACAACAAGUACUGUUCAGUGUGUGUCAAAGGGAGUUGAAAUAUAACUGAAGUACUCCAAGUUUGCAGCUACGACCUUCAAACUAAGCACGCAGGCGCAACCGCAUCACAAAAACCAGCAUAGUGCACAUAGAACUGCUUUUUGUAUUCAGUCCCGCACAUUUCCCAACAGCGUUACCCUCGAUAAAAACCACCAGUUUGGACAGAGUAAAUACUUUGAAGCUAAUCUCCUCUUUUAAAUUAUUGUUUUAUAGCUUCAUCUUGUUACAUCAAGUUCAAAUCAUUGCUUUUAUUCAAGUCCCAAAUCCAGACACUGAAAAGAACAGUAAAAGUGUCCUGACAUAAAGACGUCUCCGUCUGGUUUCACACCUUUACAUUCUCAUUUUACAAACAUAGAAACCUUAACCACACGCAAAAAAAAACAUGUCUGGAUCAGAUAUCCCUCCCCUAGACUGUAGCCGGGUUUGUGUGCAGUCAGUAUGCAGUGCAUGUUGAAUGGUAGAUAAUUGAUGCUUGGAUGUCAUGAUGGCAUUAUCAGUCAAUUUCUAUCAUAGAGAGAGUGAGAAAAUUGUCAAUUAGAUACACUAGCGUACAUCCCAGAACUCUCUUUUUUUCCCUGCUUAUGUGACGCAAAUGCAGUUCUGGGUUCUGGUCUUAAAACUAUGUUUUCUGUAAGUGAAAGACUCCGGUUUGAGGUGUAUUACACACUCACUCCCACUCCGUCUUGAAGCCACCUGUCAUCACGAUCUCUUUCGACUCUUAAAGCUCUUUAUCCAGCCUAUGGUAUCCAUCUGAGACUGGGAGAGUGUAGCUGUCAGGCUGAAGUGGCACUCACAGUAAAGAAACCCAAUGCCUGGAUUCACAAUUCAUGAAAUUCCCGGUUCAGUGAAUACGGUGUAACCUGGUCCGUAGAGGGUCACUUGUCAGAUGUACGCUGUGCUCGAAUAUUGAAUGAGAAUCAAUGUCAGGCCUUCAGCAAUGUUGGGAUUAUUAGUGAUUAACUGCGCCCCGAGGUCAGAGUAUGUCAGUGAAGAGCUGUCAAACUGGUGUCAACAUGGAUGCCUUCGGGGGGCAGAGGGCAGGGAAAGGUCGCGUCACUGAAGAAUAAACAGUGAGAAUUGACUGGGAGUCAGGAGAGGCUUGUGUUUUCUGAGCGGUGAUCAGCGUCGGCGCCUCGUUCUCCGGUUGUCUUGUCUUAAACUCUUGGGACAAAGAAUACCUCCAGGUGUGUUUCUUUAUACGGUCCUUAUACAAUUUUUUACAUGCUAAAUUCUCAAUACUUGAGAUUAAGAUUCAUGAGGUUUUGUUCCAAACAACUGUGUGUGCCUGCUAGCGCUCUACUAAGCUCCUGUUUGGGUAAAGAUCAGUACAUGAUUGAGAGACUUUUAACCUUGAGGCACCCCUUUCCCAGGGGGGCUUUGAGGGAGCUGAGAGCCUAGAGGGACAGGCAUGACACAGCAGAGAUGUGUAGGAGGUGGAAUAGAUAUUUGGGUCAAAAUUGGAACUUUUAAAAGUCGUAAGUCAGUCAAAUUUGGAUACAAUCACAGUACAUUAACCACCUCCAGGGUAUGACGUCAAUGGUUAGAGGAAUUAAACACUAAGUUACACUUAGAAACCAAAGAAAUGAUGCUCGUCACACCAUAUCAGAAACACAACCGAGACUGUAAGGAGGUAUUAGGGGAGCCUAACCCGGGAUAUCCACCGCAUUCAGAACAGCUGCGAUUUUCCCCAUACACCAAUUCCUACG